UCUUAUGGAUGAACAAAGAAAUGGUUUCUUGAAAUGGAAUCUGUUUCUGUUGAAGAUGCUGUGAA
rnacentral:pre_miRNA from 1 species